UUAUGAGAAAAGGGAGGAGGGGGAGAUGAUUCUAUAAAGUCGAGUAGCCAAAGAGUAAAACUCAUUUCUCAAACCUCUGCAACUUAAACUCCAGAUUAAAAAAAGAAGAAGAAGAAGAAAAGAAAAAAAGUAGGUGCUUCUUUUCCCUUCCCACAAAGUGAAAGCCCGACCCGGCAGACCACUAAUGAUGCUCAUUCGUGUCCGUGUCCGUGUCCGUUCAAAUUCCAGCCCAGCAGCUCCACUUCCUGCCUCUCCCAUCCCUUCUCCAUUCUGCAGAGGAGAGCAGGAGUUUGCCAGCCCCACACAGAACUCCCUACAGAAUUCCCGUUCCUUGGUGACCCUCAUCCCUAUGGGACCACCAAGCCUCAAUUUUGCAAAAACCAAAGAAAGUCCAUCCUGCACUCCAUCUCAAGAUGACAGCCCCCUCCCCCCCACCGUGCCCACCAAGAAGCCUCACUCCUCACAGUGUUUCCAGCUCAAGGGCUCUGAUUUUUGCAUCCACUUUUCUUCCCAACCAGUCAUAAAGUAUUUUCACAGCACCAUUCUCUCUGGGCCAGAUCUCAACUGAUGGGGGCAAAACCCCGGCUGUCUGCUUUCAGUGUGUCUCCAUUCUAUCUGGGGCCAAGCUUCCCAACUACCAAAAAUGGGCAAGGGCCCCAGGUUUUUCUGCCAUAUCUCUAACCUUUGUUCCUUCAUAAAGUGCUUGGUUCCUCUCUACACAGAACUGGACUCUUUCCAACCCGAGUCUCCAGGUUCUUAAGGAUCCUAAGAAGAGGUCAGGGGAGGGAACCCUGGUCCACAGCUCUCGCCCCACCCCCAUCCCCAUCAAGGCAGGAAAAGGAAGCCCCUUUGUGUGCACAACUUGCUGACAAUUGCUGGCUCUUGCCACAGUGGUGUGCUUUCCUCUCUCAGUAUAGGAAGCUGCUCAGAACUGCAGCAGGGCAGAAAGACAGGAGGAGCUGUCCCUUCUGAAGACAGCGGGGUUGCAGAGGCCACGCAAACGCUACUCUGGGUUAUUUCGGGACCAGCAAUGAAACAUUGAGCCAGCCUUUUCUCUCCGAGCCAGCCACACCAGCACGAUUUGACUUUUGACAUCUUUCCUUGUGAUGAGAAACGGCUGACUCUUUCAGCAGUUGUAGGCAAAAGGGCCUGCUAACCGGAGGGAAGGAAACCCGUACCACAGACCCUACAGGAAGGAAGGCCUGUGCCUGGGAAACUCACAGGCAGAAGCCGUUAGAGGGCAGCAAGUGUCUGUCUGGGAGCCCAGGCAGCAAGAGGACAAAGGAGCGCCUGGGAGCUGCCAGCAGCCUGGGGGCACCACUGGGUUUGACAAGGAAGGACGAAACCUGAUCCCAGCAAACGGGACACGUCGUCGUUGUGCUGUUCUGUAAGGUGACCCAGUUCUGAGACCAGACGCUAGGCUCUGAUCACACUGUAUCUGUCACACACCCUGCUUGCAACCCUCGGCCUCCGAGAGAGAGAAGACAGCUCUUCCACAUUGCCUGGAGCCUCUCUGACCUGUUUGCGCACUGUACGAAGGAGGACACAUCCUGAAAGAGGCUGUCACUUCAGCUGCAGGCUCCACGGUCCCUAUGAGACAGCCACAGAAGGGUCCCUGCACUGUUAGGUGUUUGGUCCCACUCACCAUGGAGACCUCAUCUUCAUCACAGCACUUUGGAUUCGUGCUUCCCUUCCAUCAACUGCCUUCCUCAUUUCUAAGAUAGUGGUAGUCAUAGCAACAAGUUCCGAGUGUUACUGCAGGACUUAAGUAAGAUAGUGUAGCUAAAAUAUUGAGUGUCUUGUGCUCAGCUAGCAGUAAGUGUUUAAUGAAUAUUAGGUAUACUCAUGGUUUCUGACCAAUAUUGACUGUAAGAUCUUAUCACUAGGGACUGUGAUUAUCUCAAUCAAUAAACUGCUAUGCAAGCAUGAAGCUCAGAGUGUGGAUCUUCAGUGCCCACAUAAAAGCCAGAUGUGGGGCUGGCUCAGAGGUUAAGAGCACUGACUGCUCUUCCAGAGGUUCCAAGUUCAA
rnacentral:sRNA from 1 species